UACCAUGCAGUCGAACGGUGAACACGGAGCUUGCUCUGUGGGAUCAGUGGCGAACGGGUGAGUAACACGUGAGCAACCUGCCCCUGACUCUGGGAUAAGCGCUGGAAACGGCGUCUAAUACUGGAUAUGUGACGUGACCGCAUGGUCUGCGUCUGGAAAGAAUUUCGGUUGGGGAUGGGCUCGCGGCCUAUCAGCUUGUUGGUGAGGUAAUGGCUCACCAAGGCGUCGACGGGUAGCCGGCCUGAGAGGGUGACCGGCCACACUGGGACUGAGACACGGCCCAGACUCCUACGGGAGGCAGCAGUGGGGAAUAUUGCACAAUGGGCGCAAGCCUGAUGCAGCAACGCCGCGUGAGGGACGACGGCCUUCGGGUUGUAAACCUCUUUUAGCAGGGAAGAAGCGAAAGUGACGGUACCUGCAGAAAAAGCGCCGGCUAACUACGUGCCAGCAGCCGCGGUAAUACGUAGGGCGCAAGCGUUAUCCGGAAUUAUUGGGCGUAAAGAGCUCGUAGGCGGUUUGUCGCGUCUGCUGUGAAAUCCGGAGGCUCAACCUCCGGCCUGCAGUGGGUACGGGCAGACUAGAGUGCGGUAGGGGAGAUUGGAAUUCCUGGUGUAGCGGUGGAAUGCGCAGAUAUCAGGAGGAACACCGAUGGCGAAGGCAGAUCUCUGGGCCGUAACUGACGCUGAGGAGCGAAA
rnacentral:rRNA from 1 species